rnacentral:rRNA from 1 species
UACGUAGGGUGCGAGCGUUAAUCGGAAUUACUGGGCGUAAAGCGUGCGCAGGCGGUUUUGUAAGCCAGAUGUGAAAGCCCCGGGCUUAACCUGGGAAUGGCAUUUGGGACUGCAAGGCUUGAGUGCGGCAGAGGAGACUGGAAUUUACGGUGUAGCAGUGAAAUGCGUAGAGAUCGUAAGGAAGACCAGUGGCGAAGGCGGGUCUCUGGACAGUUCCUGACACUGAGGCACGAAGGCCAGGGGAGCAAACGGG